rnacentral:rRNA from 1 species
UACAGAGGUCCCAAGCGUUGUUCGGAUUCAUUGGGCGUAAAGGGUGCGUAGGCGGCGCGGUAAGUCGGGUGUGAAAUCUCGGGGCUUAACUCCGAAACUGCAUUCGAUACUGCCGUGCUUGAGGACUGGAGAGGAGACUGGAAUUUACGGUGUAGCGGUGAAAUGCGCAGAUAUCAGGAGGAACACCGGUGGCGAAGGCGGGUCUCUGGCCGAUACUGACGCUGAGGAGCGAAAGCGUGGGGAGCGAACAGG